ACGUAUGAGGCGAGCGUUGUUCGGAAUUAUUGGGCGUAAAGGGCAUCUAGGCGGGAUGUUAAGUUAGAUGUGAAAUCUCAGGGCUCAACCCUGAAACUGCAUUUAAAACUGGCAUUCUUGAGUUCGGAAGGGGAGAGCGGAAUUCCCGGUGUAGCGGUGAAAUGCGUAGAUAUCGGGAAGAACACCAGUGGCGAAGGCGGCUCUCUGGUCUAGAACUGACGCUGAAGUGCGAAAGCGUGGGGAGCGAACAG
rnacentral:rRNA from 1 species